rnacentral:rRNA from 1 species
CGGGGUGAGUAAUGCUUGGGAAUCUAGCUUAUGGAGGGGGAUAACUACGGGAAACUGUAGCUAAUACCGUGUAGAAUCGGGAGAUGAAAGUGUGGGACCUUCGGGCCACAUGCCAUAGGAUGAGCCCAAGUGGGAUUAGGUAGUUGGUGAGGUAAAGGCUCACCAAGCCGACGAUCUCUAGCUGGUCUGAGAGGAUGACCAGCCACACUGGAACUGAGACACGGUCCAG